GACGAACGCUGGCGGCGUGCUUAACACAUGCAAGUCGAACGGAAAGGCCCUGCUUUUGUGGGGUGCUCGAGUGGCGAACGGGUGAGUAACACGUGAGUAACCUGCCCUUGACUUUGGGAUAACUUCAGGAAACUGGGGCUAAUACCGGAUAGGAGCUCCUGCUGCAUGGUGGGGGUUGGAAAGUUUCGGCGGUUGGGGAUGGACUCGCGGCUUAUCAGCUUGUUGGUGGGGUAGUGGCUUACCAAGGCUUUGACGGGUAGCCGGCCUGAGAGGGUGACCGGGCAAAGUGGGACGGAGAGAGGGGCCAGACGCGGGCGGGAGGCAGCAGGGGGGAAGCGGGAAGAAGGGCCGGAAGCGGGAUGCAGCAGCGCCGGGUGCGGGAGGAAGGAGGGCGGGGUGGAAACAUGGAUCGCAGGGGACGAAGAGUAAGGGACGGGAAGGAGUAAAGAAGAAAAGGCGAACGAAGUG
rnacentral:rRNA from 1 species